rnacentral:lncRNA from 1 species
CUGGUGAUGCUUUUAUGGAGCUUACUGUUGUUGGCAUGGCUAUUACUGUGGAAUCCGUUGUUGAUACUGAGGGGGACCUCGAUUCACAUGAGAGUAUUGACCUUGUGGAGGGAAUGACAUAUGAUAUGGAAGCCUAAAAGGAUAUUGAUACUAGACCCCUAAGUGUGGGAGGAGACUCUAUCGUCGUUUCUUUAUUGUUUUUCUCGUUUUUCCUUUAUCGCUUUUUCUUUGCUGUUU